rnacentral:rRNA from 1 species
UUGAACGCUGGCGGCAGGCCUAACACAUGCAAGUCGAGCGGAUGAAGGGAGCUUGCUCCUGGAUUCAGCGGCGGACGGGUGAGUAAUGCCUAGGAAUCUGCCUGGUAGUGGGGGAUAACGUCCGGAAACGGGCGCUAAUACCGCAUACGUCCUGAGGGAGAAAGUGGGGGAUCUUCGGACCUCACGCUAUCAGAUGAGCCUAGGUCGGAUUAGCUAGUUGGUGGGGUAAAGGCCUACCAAGGCGACGAUCCGUAACUGGUCUGAGAGGAUGAUCAGUCACACUGGAACUGAGACACGGUCCAGACGCCUACGGGAGGCAGCAGUGGGGAAUAUUGGACAAUGGGCGAAAGCCUGAUCCAGCCAUGCCGCGUGUGUGAAGAAGGUCUUCGGAUUGUAAAGCACUUUAAGUUGGGAGGAAGGGCAGUAAGUUAAUACCUUGCUGUUUUGACGUUACCAACAGAAUAAGCACCGGCUAACUUCGUG